AGGGAAUGAAGACACUGUAGGGUUAAGAGCCUGAAUUGUACUUAAAAGUCUUAAGACUUUCUUUCUAAACAGUGUGCCUGGGAAACGCAUAACCCAGAAGAAUUGGCUGAUUGUCUCACUCUGUUCUUCGCUGUAUUGACUUCAAUUCCAAUGUAGACAAGGUUGAUGGUUGCUGAAGCAUCCUGUCUAACUGCUAUUGAACAGUCAUAAUAGGGUUGGCCUGACAUCAGAGGUACCUGAAGACAGCUGGUCACAAUAUCAGGCCCAGUGGCCUGCAUUUCUACCAUGGAUUAUCUUGAACUCUCAUUUUGUGAACCAAGCCCUUACUUGAAGAGCUAUACCUUGCAUUUGGAAUAGGUUAAUAAUGUUGACUGACUCUGAUUUGUUCCUGCAGAAAGAAAUGUUCAACUUUUCAAAACAAAAAUGAUUGCCUUGUUAUUUUCAGUGUUGCUGCAAGAUAGAGAGACUACAAGCCCCAGAUGUUAGGUGCACCUCAACCCACUCACUGAUUUCAACAGCUCUUGACUGCAUGCUUGAUUACGACUGGAAUCUAAAUGCUGAGCUAACAAUUCAGUGGAAAUGGAUAGAAAUAGAAGCUUGCCACAGGAAGAGACCAACACUAAGACGGAAACAGAGACAGAGACAGUGACCAAGACAGAACAUCCUAGAAGAGGGAGGGAGCGGGCCUGAUGAACAAUAGGUACGCGAAUGGAUGAACUAGAUUAAAGCGAUCCAUAUGCAAAUGAUGUGUGCGCAUCUGAUUACAUCAAACCAUGCACAGUUUAAUGAGUAUGGCGAGAUGCUUUUAUCUGCUUGGAUGUGCUCUG
rnacentral:lncRNA from 1 species